rnacentral:rRNA from 1 species
CCUACGGGUGGCAGCAGUGGGGAAUAUUGGGCAAUGGGCGCAAGCCUGACCCAGCAACGCCGCGUGAAGGAAGAAGGCUUUCGGGUUGUCAACUUCUUUUAAGGGGGAAGAGCAGAAGACGGUACCCCUUGAAUAAGCCACGGCUAACUACGUGCCAGCAGCCGCGGUAAUACGUAGGUGGCAAGCGUUGUCCGGAUUUACUGGGUGUAAAGGGCGUGCAGCCGGGGAGACAAGUCAGAUGUGAAAUCCACGGGCUCAACCCGUGAACUGCAUUUGAAACUGUUUCCCUUGAGUGUCGGAGAGGUAAUCGGAAUUCCGUGUGUAGCGGGGAAAUGCGUAGAUAUAAGGAAGAACACCAGUGGCGAAGGCGGAUUACUGGACGAUAACUGACGGUGAGGCGCGAAAGCGUGGGGAGCAAACAGGAUUAGAUACCCCGGUAGUC